rnacentral:misc_RNA from 1 species
UCAAACUUGGUCAUUUAGAGGAAGUAAAAGUCGUAACAAGGUUUCCGUAGGUGAACCUGCGGAAGGAUCAUUAUUGAAUCCAUGAGGGGGGGGAGGGAGAGAGAAAGAAGGCAGUCGCUGGUCCUUGAUUUUGGGCAUGUGCACGCUUUUUUCUACAUCCCUUGCUUCUUUCAACUCACCUGUGCACUCACCGUAGGCUUCUUCGAGAGGAGGACCCUAUGUUUUACAUCACACCACGAGAAUGUUUAUAGAAUGUUUGAUUGAGUUGAAAUGUAAUAUUUUACAACUUUCAGCAACGGAUCUCUUGGCUCUCGCAUCGAUGAAGAACGCAGC